rnacentral:rRNA from 1 species
CCUACGGGUGGCAGCAGUGAGGAAUAUUGGGCAAUGGGCGAGAGCCUGAAGCAGCCACGCCGCGUGAAGGAUGAAUGCCCUACGGGUGGUAAACUUCUUUUAUAGAGGAAUAAGGUGAGGCAGGUAAGCAGUUGUGUAUGGACUGUACGAAUAAGGAUCGGCUAACUCCGUGCCAGCAGCCGCGGUAAUACGGAGGAUAGGGGCGUUAUCCGGAUUUAUUGAGUUUAAAGGGAGCGUAGAUGGGUUGUUAAGUCAGUUGUGAAAGUUUGCGGCUCAACCGUAAAAUUGCAAUUGAUACUGGCAGCCUUGAGUACAGUUGAGGUAGGCGGAAUUCGUGGUGUAGCAGUGAAAUGCUUAGAUAUCACGAAGAACUCCGAUUGCGAAGGCAGCUUACUAACCUGCCACUGACAUUGAUGCUCGAAAGUGUGGGUAUCAAACAGGAUUAGAUACCCUUGUAGUC